AAGUCGUAACAAGGUUUCCGUAGGUGAACCUGCGGAAGGAUCAUUACCUAGAGUUGUAGGCUUUGCCUGCUAUCUCUUACCCAUGUCUUUUGAGUACCUUCGUUUCCUCGGCGGGUUCGCCCGCCGAUUGGACAAUUUAAACCAUUUGCAGUUGCAAUCAGCGUCUGAAAAAACAUAAUAGUUACAACUUUCAACAACGGAUCUCUUGGUUCUG
rnacentral:misc_RNA from 1 species